UACGUAGGGUGCGAGCGUUAUUCGGAAUUACUGGGCGUAAAGCGUGCGCAGGCGGUUUUGUAAGUCUGCUGUGAAAUCCCCGGGCUUAACCUGGGAAUGGCAUUUGGGACUGCAAGGCUUGAGUGCGGCAGAGGAGACUAGAAUUCCUGGUGUAGCAGUGAAAUGCGUAGAUAUCAGGAGGAAUACCGAUGGCGAAGGCAGGUCUCUGGGCUGACACUGACGCUCAUGCACGAAAGCGUGGGGAGCAAACAGG
rnacentral:rRNA from 1 species